UUUGAGCGAGCGAGCGAGCGAGAGAGAGAGAGAGAGAGAGCGUUCUCUAGCAAACGGCGUCGAUCUAUCAUUGGGUCUCUCCCUCAUCAUCAAGUUUCUCUGCUCUCGUCGAUGAUGAUUUUUGAAGGAGGAAGAACACAAAUUAGGGUUAGGGUUGAUGAUGACUCAAACAACAACGAACGGACAUCAAUAUGUGAGCAGAGGAGGAUUUGAUUGAUAUGAUGAUGAUGCUCGGAGGCGUAGGAGAGCGUUUUUCAUCCUCUCCACGGCGUCUCUGAUUUGACCGACGACGACCCCAAAUAAAAAGAUCGGGUAUGGUUUUGAAGAAUGUUGAAGAAGACGACUCAGACUGCUUUAUGGUUUUCUUUCUAUCAUCAACUUUAAGUGAAGACUGAAAUUCUGGAACAAUGGCAAGGGAUAAGCUAUCAGCUCACACAGAGACAUCGUAUAAGCAGAUCUGAGAGAGAUAUGGACAAAUCCUUUAUCAUUGACAUUAAUUGAUGUAGAUUUUGGCUGCUCCACCUUUGCCUGCAACACAAACAACUACACCACAUCUGCUAGCUAGAAUUUCAGGAAUAAUGGCAAGGGCUAACCAAGCCAGAUCACACAGAGACGUCUUUUAUUUCUUUAACGAAAAGAAGUGUUUAAGCAGAUCGGAGAUGGUUUGAUGAAUGAUGAAGGAUACUCAUACUGCUUAAGGUUUUCUUUCUAUCAUCAACACCACAAUCCAUAAGUGAAGAAUCAAUGGUUUGAAGUAUGAAUUAUGUAAUUCGGACUUUGGGGAUUUAUUAGGUUCAGUUUGAACAACGAUGAAGAGGAAGAAGACUCACACUGCCACGAACCAUAAUUGUUAGACUGCUUUGACGACGGCCAAGUA